rnacentral:rRNA from 1 species
UGAAACUGAGACUUUAGGUCUCCUGAAGGAACGUUGAAGACGACGACGUUGAUAGGCCGGGUGUGUAAGCGCAGCGAUGCGUUGAGCUAACCGGUACU